GUUGGUGUGUGAUUACAGACUUGUGUGUGAGGUUUUGAUUGUGGCGCAGUCAGUUGUUUGCCGAGAAGCCUUGAAAACUGUGUAUUGCCCCCUUAAGAGCAAAAUUUAAUUUUUUGUGUGUGAUUACAGACUUGUGUGUGAGGUUUUGAUUGUGGCGCAGUCAGUUGUUUGCCGAGAAGCCUUGAAAACUGUGUAUUGCCCCCUUAAGAGCAAAAUUUGAUUUUUUGUGUGUGAUUACAGACUUGUGUGUGAGGUUUUGAUUUAGGCGCAGUCAGUUGUUUGCCGAGAAGCCUUGAAAACUGUGUAUUGCCCCCUUA